AAUUAGUAACACUUGCACUAUAUUCGGGGAGAAAAAAUGCAGUAACAUAUCGAGAAUAUAAAUGCUCAUUUUAUUCUAUCAUCUAAUGAAAUAUUUCUCAAUACAACACAAACAUAUGAACUGUGAAUAUCCCAUGUCAACUUCAUCGAAUAAUUUCGCCAAGGGCCUCGACAUGGUAGCAAUAAACUCCAGUAAUAAUCUCGCACUAAGAAACUCUAAAAAUACCAUCUUGGUCUUACUUCCUCUUCUUCUUCUGUCAAAUCGCGGUACUGAUACCAUUCUGAUCCAGCUUUACCAACAGGCAUGGGAGGCCUAACGAAAAUCUCUACUGGUUUAGGGACGUGGAUAGCCAACUCGAGUUCAUUGACUGAUGAUUCUAAAUCAGAAUGAUUGUUUGGGAGCAAGUUCUUUCGUUCAACAGUG
rnacentral:misc_RNA from 1 species